UUGCUUUCGUCGUACUAAAAACUGAACAUUAGAUCAAUUUUGUAUUUUUUUACCUACUUUAUUCACCACUGUGAAAGAACCUUACACUUUCUAGAGUUUAUCGAGUUGCAAAGAUAUUCGUGGUCUCUUUCUUGAGCAGCUUCAAAGCCUCCACUACUUCUUGUUGAUGUCUCUGUAUAAGCCUAUCUGUGGAGCAGUGGGAGGCCUUCGCUAAAGCUGUCCCAGCAAUAGAGGAUGCUAUAAAGAGGAUUUCCGACUAAAGGCGCCUUUUUAAUGAAGUUUCAGUGACGUAUUAACAUAUUAUGUAGUAUUAUUUUGGAUCUGCAGCCAAAAUUUUUGGUUUUAAAUGAAAUGUUUAAUUUCUCGUCAAAGUUUUAUUAGAAUUUUAAGUUGAUGUUCCAUUAAAUUUCUUGAGUUGUAAUUUGAUUUCAAAUUUAAUAGUUUUUGCUUAAAA